GAUGAACGCUGGCGGCGUGCCUAAUACAUGCAAGUCGAGCGAACAGACGAGGAGCUUGCUCCUCUGACGUUAGCGGCGGACGGGUGAGUAACACGUGGAUAACCUACCUAUAAGACUGGGAUAACUUCGGGAAACCGGAGCUAAUACCGGAUAAUAUAUUGAACCGCAUGGUUCAAUAGUGAAAGACGGUUUUGCUGUCACUUAUAGAUGGAUCCGCGCCGCAUUAGCUAGUUGGUAAGGUAACGGCUUACCAAGGCAACGAUGCGUAGCCGACCUGAGAGGGUGAUCGACCACACUGGAACUGAGACACGGUCCAGACUCCUACGGGAGGCAGCAGUAGGGAAUCUGCCGCAAUGGGCGAAAGCCUGACGGAGCAACGCCGCGUGAGUGAUGAAGGUCUUCGGAGCGUAAAACUCUGUUAUUAGGGAAGAACAAAUGUGUAAGUAACUAUGCACGUCUUGACGGUACCUAAUCAGAAAGCCACGGCUAACUACGUG
rnacentral:rRNA from 1 species